rnacentral:rRNA from 1 species
GACGAACGCUGGCGGCGUGCCUAAUACAUGCAAGUCGAGCGGAUUGAUGGGAGCUUGCUCCCUGAUAUCAGCGGCGGACGGGUGAGUAACACGUGGGCAACCUGCCUAUAAGACUGGGAUAACUUCGGGAAACCGGAGCUAAUACCGGAUAAUCCCUUUCCUCUCAUGAGGAAAGGCUGAAAGAUGGUUUACGCUAUCACUUAUAGAUGGGCCCGCGGCGCAUUCGCUAGUUGGUGAGGUAACGGCUCACCAAGGCAACGAUGCGUAGCCGACCGGAGAGGGUGAUCGGCCACACUGGAGCUGAGACACGGCCCAGACUCCUACGGGAGGCAGCAGUAGGGAAUCUUCCGCAAUGGACGAAAGUCUGACGGAGCAACGCCGCGUGAGUGAUGAAGGUUUUCGGAUCGUAAAACUCUGUUGUUAGGGAAGAACAAGUACGAGAGUAACUGCUCGUACCUUGACGGUACCUAACCAGAAAGCCACGGCCAACUACGUGCCAGCCGCCGCCGUAA